GCACAAGCGGCGGAGCAUGCGGAUUAAUCGAUGCAACGCGAAGACCUUACCAAGGCUUGACAUACACCGGUAACGCCCAGAGAUGGGUGCCCCUUUGUGGUCGGUGGACAGGUGGUGCAUGGUUGUCGUCAGCUCGUGUCGUGAGAUGUUGGGUUAAGUCCCGCAACGAGCGCAACCCUCGUCCUGUGUUGCCAGCGGGUCAUGCCGGGGACUCAUGGGAGACUGCCGGGGUCAACUCGGAGGAAGGUGGGAUGACGUCAAAUCAUCAUGCCCCUUAUGUCUUGGGCUUCACGCAUGCUACAAUGGCCGGUACAAAGGGCUGCGAUACCGCGAGGUGGAGCGAAUCCCAGAAAGCCGGUCUCAGUUCGGAUUGGGGUCUGCAACUCGACCCCAUGAAGUCGGAGUCGCUAGUAAUCGCAGAUCAGCAACGCUGCGGUGAAUACGUUCCCGGGCCUU
rnacentral:rRNA from 1 species